AUGGAGUUUGGUUUGGACAAAUGUUCGACAGUGGCAUUGAAGAAGGGAAAAAUCAUUGAAAGUGAGGGCAUAAAUAUGCCUAAUGGCCAAACAAUAAAGUGUCACCAGCCAGAGGCCUAUAAAUAUCUGGGCAUAUUACAGCUGGACAACAUCAAGCAUGAACAUGUGAAGACUGCGGUCAGUAAAGAAUACACACAAAGGGUCAGAAAAAUUCUCAAAAGCAAGCUCAAUGGAGGCAACACUAUCAAGGCCAUAAACACCUGGGCCAUACCUGUCAUAAGAUAUACUGCUGGCAUUAUAAAUUGGACACAGGCGGAACUGGACAGCUUGGACAGAAAAACAAGAAAACUCAUGACAAUUCAUCAUUCACUGCACCCUCGCAGUGAUGUUGACCGGCUAUAUCUGCCUAGAAGAUCAGGGGGUAGAGGACUCUUACAAGUAAAACAAGCAGUCAAAGAAGAAGAACAUGCCCUGGCAGAAUAUGUAAAGCAAAGUGAAGAACCUGCUUUGAUUGAAGUCAAAAAUCAGAAACUCCUCAAUGGACAGCAGAUAAAAAACCAGUACAAGAAAACCACACUACAAACUAGAGCUGACAGCUGGCACAACAAAACAUUGCAUGGAAAGGUCCUUGACAAAAUUGAAGGAAAAGCUGAUAAGGAGAAGACCUGGCUAUGGCUCAUGAAUGGGACCCUGAAGAAGGAGACAGAAGGCCUGAUCCUUGCAGCCCAGGAGCAAGCCAUCAGGACAAAUGCAAUUAAGGCCAAGAUCGAAAAAUCAGCUGAUGACCCAAAAUGCAGACUGUGCAAGGAAGCUGACGAAACCAUUGAUCAUAUCCUCAGCUGCUGUAAGAAAAUUGCACAGACAGACUACAAACAGAGGCACAACUAUGUGGCCCAAAUGAUUCAUUGGAACUUAUGCCUGAAGUACCACCUCCCAGCAGCAAAGACCUGGUGGGAUCACAAACCUGCAAAAGUAUUGGAAAAUGAGCACGCAAAGAUACUGUGGGACUUCCGAAUCCAGACUGACAAAGUUCUAGAACACAAGACACCAGACAUCACAGUUGUGGAAAAGAAAAAGGGUGGGAUCAUUGAUGUUGCCAUCCCAGGUGACAGUCGCAUUGACGAAAAACAACAGGAAAAACUCAGCCGCUAUCAGGACCUCAAUAUUGAACUUCAAAGACUCUGGCAGAAACCAGUGCAGGUGAUCCCGGUGGUGAUGGGCACACUGGGUGCCAUGCCAAAAGAUCUCAGCCGGCAUUUGGAAACAAUAGACAUUGACAAAAUCACGAUCUGCCAACUGCAAAAGGCCACCCUACUGGGAUCUGCACGCAUCAUCCGAAAAUACAUCACACAGUCCUAG
rnacentral:lncRNA from 1 species